GCGAACGCCAGGGACCCUGUGCAGGCCUGCUCCUCCGUUUGCAAGGGCUGGUUUCAAGGACUCCUCGUCUCCCUCUCCAGUGAUAGCGUCAGCGGAAAUGCAGACGGGGACGGGGCUGCUGGGUUUCCUCCCUGGAAUGAAGCACAGCCGGAGGUUUUGCUGAUUCACCAGCAGGCCCUGACCGCUGAGUUCAGGGUAACAAAUCCACAUGGAUCCUGAGCCCGCAUAGCUCCCUGGGCCUCAGCAUAAACAUCGUAAACCUCCGGGCCCUGGCAGUGUCUGUUUCAUCCCCUCCAGAGCAAGUGCAAGUGUGAGAUUUAGAGAUUCUAAGAGGGGAAGGGCCAGAGGUCUUGAAAACGACCUUCAUUCGUUCAUUCAUUCGAGAAGUUUGCGAGGGCCUCCGUGUCCUGCGUUUAGUGGGGCCUAGGACGCAGAUGUGAAGGGCGCUGCUCUCAGGAGCAGACAGAGGUGGGGAUGAAUCAGUACACGCCCACCUCGGGCCCACAGGGGAGGAUGCGCGGAGCUGUGGGUGUGGGGAGGAGACCCCUCUGCGUCAUGCUGACGGUGUCGGCAGAGUCGCCAGCUUCUGCAGGAGCGGUACCUGUGGGUUCUUCUGUGACUUGUUUAACCGCAUCUUUUGCCCAGUAGUUAGUCUUUUCCUGUUGGGACACCAUGUUGGUAGUUUGGAAAUGGUUUCUUCCAUCCAUUGCCUGCCUUUUAGCUUUGUCGAUGGUGUUCUGUUGUAAAUUUUGGUGCACGUUUAAUGUGAACAAUGGUUAUGAGACGAGUGCCAUGAGUUCCUGUGUGCCUGUCACCCAGCCCGGCCACAAGAGGUGCUGGGGGCAGUGUCCACACCCCCCUUUCUUAGGACGCCUGAGUCUCAGAUGUGACUUAUAGGGUAUUUCUUAUGGCAAGACGGUUAAAACAAACUUCAGCGUCUCGUCUGUCCUUCUAUGGCUGUGGCUUCUGAUGUUCUAAUGGCGUUCUCGUCAGCCGGGGCUGAGAACAAAAUAACAUAGACUGUGGGGCUUAAACAGCAGAAACUUACUUCCCACGGUUCUGGAGGUUGGGAGUCUUGGAUCACCGUGUAGCAUGGUCAGGUUCCUGGUGAGGGUGGGAUUCCUGGCUAACGUAACGAAGGCUCCCUCUCCUGAUACCGUGUCACUGGGGGUGAGGCUUCAACACAGGAAUUUUGGGGGGACACAUCAGCAUUCACUCCAUCACAGGUGGUUAGCCCUUUAAUCCGCGGGAAUUUUGUUUGGGGUUGUGUGAGAUACGGGUCUAACGUUUUCUUUUUCAAAUACGUAGCCAGUUGUCACAUCAUUUAUUGAAAAAGGAAUCUUUUCUCCACCGACUGACAUGAAAUGCUACCAUCAUCGUAAAUAAAAUUCCCGUAAAUACUUGCUGUCUCUGCUGUCUCAGUCCUGACUCACGGGCUGAGUUCUCUUUCUGCACAGUAGCACUGGCAUUAACUGUGACAGCUUUACAGCAGGCUCCCUCCCCGAGGCCGUUCAGAAGCAUUCCUCAGCGGGUCCUACACGUUUCCUCUCCCAUGUCAAGUUUAGAAGCAGUGUCAAGACCCACAGCAGUCCUGCGGGAGUUUUAAGGGAUGCACGGAGUUUAUGGGGACAGUUUGGAAAAUUGACAUUCAUGUGACUU
rnacentral:lncRNA from 10 species